UGGGACCCCAUGACUGACUCUCCAAGCCUGAAGGUCAUGAACCAUGGUCAUUUUAACUUUGAGGGACAGCCAGAAG
rnacentral:lncRNA from 1 species